GGACUCAUAGCUCAGCUGGUUAGAGCGCUGCAUUCACAUUGCAGAGGUCCCAGGUUCGAACCCUGGUGGGUCCACCA
rnacentral:tRNA from 1 species